GGCGGAGCCAAUGGGGCGACGAAGAAGCAGAAGAAGAGCGGCCACCGCCGGGCUGUGGAGGAGGUCGAGGAUGACUUCGAGACCGACUUCUUGGAGUUCGAGUACGAGGCGCUGGAGUCGGAAGUGGAGGACGAGGUGGAGAUCGUGGAGAAGCCCUUCGCUUUCGCCUGCAAAGGUGAAAAAAUAUGGGUUUUGACAGUUAGUUGUUACUUCAUUGCGCGUUCUAAUCCUUCUCCGUGUAUGAACUAUGUUAUGAUACUUCCACCAAAUUCUAUUUUCUCAGCUAUUUCUUGGUACUUUGGCUCGUCACACGUCAUCAGAAAGCGAAAUCUUUCGUGCAUCCCAAUCAUUUUCCUCUAACAUAUUACACAGUGCCUUUUUUUCAAGUUAGGUAUGAGAAAUAUUUACAAGAUUUUAGUAUAUACUCUGUUUUCUGGAUUGUUCCCCGAUGGCCAAGAUCGGAUUUUUCAUCCUCUUUUUUUGGUUAAUUUGGCAAAUAAUAGCUUGAAGGUGUAAUAUUUUUCCAACAGAAUCCUUCUACUCCGAUUCCUCUUUCCUUCCCGUUUACCGGAAGACAAAAUUGUUCUUUAAUGAUUCCUUUUUUCCUUCGAUUACUGAAAUAUAUUUAUUUAUGUAUGUUGGGGAUUCUUUUCCAAUAUAGUGGAUUGUGUUCGUCUCGUUUUUCUAGUGAUGGAGGCUUUGGUUUUGCUAUAUGUAGCAUCUUCAUCUUUGUUUUGUUUCAUGGAGAUUGCUUUCCCCCCUUUGAUUAGCUUUUCAUUUCUUUGUUUGAGUUUUUCGUUUGGUUAUUUUUAUGGUUUUAGAGUGACAACAAUCAUUCUUGAUGUAGGUUUAGAAUCAUAAGAUCCAAAGCUUAUUUUGCUAUUCUCCUAAAAAAAAGUGUUUUUUUAGGAUUUUUUAAUUAGCAGCAUUUAUUCUUGAAUAUAGAUUUAGGGUCAUAAGAUGCAAAGUUCAUUUUAUUUAAUUUGUUAUUUAUUUAUUUAUAUGCUGUUGGUCGAUGCUCGUAUGCAGACUUUUGGUUGCUUUGAAGACCUUAGGCUGCUGCCCUUCAAUUGGUGGCACUGAGUUAUCUAUUAAGACCAUCCAUAUAUUAUUGGUCAUGCAAUAUCAGAAUUUAUGCAUGAUGUAAAUCAUAGAAGGAUUGGUAACUAUUGGGGUUACCUUAAAUCAAUAGCUGGUAUUAAGUCUAUGAAAUUAGAGUCUGGCUUUCCUUUGUUUUGAAAUCACUUGAAUGGAAUCUGUGUGACUACAGGAGAUCAGCAGAUACAUGCAUCAUGGAUGUUGACCAAUUGAAGAAGUUUUGAUGUGUUACAAUGAGAACUUGCCUGCCAACGUUCUAGGUUUUACGGUCCUUAAACCUUCUUUGUUGAGAGCACACCUUUCUGAAUCCUUAACUAUCUAAUAAUCUUCUCAAUUCAAACUGGAUUGAUGUUUCAGACCAUUUAGAUAGUUGUUUUAUCUCUUAAAUCCCAUAUUCUUCACUGGAUAAUGAGGAAAAGAAGCAUCCUCUUGGAGUUACAAAUGUUAGUUACUAAUAACUGCUGCACACUCUUGGCUUAAUCACAGACACAGAUCUGCUCCAGAAUCAGUUAAUGGUGACAUUUCCUAUUGUGCUUUUAGCUCUCCUGAAUUAGUAGCUCUACUGUGAAUUUUGAUGUUCUUCAGUAAAUUUUGAGAAGGUAUUACACAAUCAUCACAUGGGAAAGUCCUCUUUAAGCAUUUUUCCUAAACUUUGUAUAAUUUGUUGCUUUCUGUUCUAUUACUGCAGCAGAUGGACCAGUUGCUCUGAAACCUGUGAAAUUCAAUGGAUCUGCAGCUAGGUCUG
rnacentral:lncRNA from 1 species